rnacentral:rRNA from 1 species
UACGGAGGGUGCGAGCGUUGUCCGGAAUCAUUGGGCGUAAAGGGCGCGUAGGUGGCCCGGUCAGUUCGUGGUGAAAGCGCGGGGCUCAACUCCGCGUCGGCCAUGAAUACUGCUGGGCUGGAGCACUGUAGAGGCAGGCGGAAUUCCGGGUGUAGCGGUGGAAUGCGUAGAGAUCCGGAAGAACACCGGUGGCGAAAGCGGCUCACUGGACCACAACUGACGCUGAGGCGCGAAAGCUAGGGGAGCAAACAGG